UCCAUUAAUCCCUCCCUCCCUCCCCAGGGUUGAACCUGGUUAGUACCUGGAUGGGAGACCUCCUGGGAAAAACUAGGUUGCUGCUGGAA
rnacentral:rRNA from 1 species